GCAGGACAGGGAUUGGUUGGCUGAGCAGCUGCAGGACAGGGAUUGGUGGGUUGGCUGAGCAGCUGCAGGACAAAGGGGCGUGGUCAGACAGGUCGCUCACAUUGAGCAGAGAAAGAGGCACCCGGGUCCCCACAUUGGGCUGAACUCCCAGGGUGCACUGGGCUUGGGUGCCGGACGCUCAUUUGCCCCCUGUUUCCUCUGUAAGGGCAAUAAACGCGUCGUGCUGUCCCCGCGGUGCCACUAGUGAGUGACUGAAAGCAGCAAAUCCCGCCUUCCCUCUCAAUCCAAGAUCUGCGCACCACUUUUUCCCUCUCUCGCUCUCCGUACUUCUCAGUCACGUGACAGGGCCGGAAGCGGAAGUGUCUGCGGGAGGGAACUGGGAACGUGUGAGGGUGACAAUUCCGGAAAGAGUUGGGAGGGAAGAGUGUGGCGGGUGUGUGUGAGACUGGAGGCGCCUUGUUCCUUACAUUGGAGAGAAAUAUCUGGAGAUGUUGCCCAUGGCAACCAAUUAGAUUUAAACAGCCACCUAGAAGUUAGAAAACUAAAGCAAAGAUGUGAUUGGUUGUUAUGGGCAACAUCUCCAGAUAUUUCUCUCCAGUGUUAGUGACAGACUCAUUAAUAUACAAGACUCUUUGUCUCGCUGACCUCUGACCUCUCUGCCCUUGGCCCCGCCCCCAGGGAGGAGGAGUCACACAGGAUCAGUCAGAGACACAGGGGGAGGGGUGUGACCCCAUUAUUUCUCCUCUCACUUCCCUCCAAUUAUAAUGAAACUGUGUGAGUUGUGAGUUUUAUUCUAGUUCUACUACAGACUCCCCCCGGCACUUGUACAGACCCUCAGUGGGUGCAGGUGCAGUCGGGGGUCGUCGCCAUGCCCGGGAAGCAGAAAGUUAAAAUUGUGGCCGGGUGAUGGACAGAGCCAGAGAUCUAACAGACGCCUUUGAGGAGGUGGAGUUUGGCAACACUACAUUCAAAACCAACGUGUACCACAAAUCUCUGAACCCCCAGUGGAACUCCGAGUGGUUUAAAUUCGAGGUGGAUGAUGAAAAUCUCGAGGAUGAGCCCCUGCAGAUCACAGUCCUGGAUCACGACACAUAACGAGUCCAUCUGCAAAGUCUACAUUGACAUCGACCCGUUGUUCUAUACGGAAGCUGCCACCCUGAUAUCCGGCUGUUUCCCAUCUAUGACACAAUCCAUGGCAACUCACACUGGCCGGGCUGGAGCCGCGUUUAUUUAGGCAACUUUGGCCCCACCCCAGACUUGAUUUUGUCAGCGUCAUCGCGAAGGUUGAUCCCUUCAAUGACUUGAAUUGCUUCAGACAAUCUUCCUGCGGGGGUUAAGUUUUUCUGCAGUAAGUAUUAAAGGGGUUGUUCCCCUUUAAAUUAACUGUUAGUAGGAUGCAGAGAGGGAUAUUCUGAGACAAUUUGCAACUGGUUUUCAUUUUUUAUUAU